CAUAUCAAUAAGCGGAGGAAAAGAAACCAACAGGGAUUGCCUCAGUAGCGGCGAGUGAAGCGGCAAGAGCUCAGAUUUGAAAUCGCAGCACCAUGCUGCGAGUUGUAGAUUGCAGGUGGGAGAGUCUGCGUAGGCCGGUGUCGAAGUCCCUUGGAACAGGGCGCCACUGAGGGUGAGAGCCCCGUGCGAUGCCACGCUCUACGUUUUGUACUCCCCUCUGACGAGUCGAGUUGUUUGGGAAUGCAGCUCUAAGUGGGUGGUAAAUUCCAUCUAAGGCUAAAUACUGGCGAGAGACCGAUAGCGAACAAGUACUGUGAAGGAAAGAUGAAAAGCACUUUGAAAAGAGAGUGAAACAGCACGUGAAAUUGUUGAAAGGGAAGGGUAUUGGGCCCGACAUGGGAAUCGCGCACCGCUGCUCCUUGUGGGCGGCGCUCUGGGCUUUUCCUGGGCCAGCAUCGGUUCUUGCUGCAGGAGAAGGGGCUGUGGAAUGUGGCUGCCGCGCUUUGCCGGGGCAGUGUUAUAGCCACUGGGCCAGAUGCUGCGUGUGGGGACCGAGGACUGCGGCCGCAAGGCCUCGGAUGCUGGCACAACGGGGAAUACCGCCCGCCUUGAAACACGGAACAAAA
rnacentral:rRNA from 1 species